GAAGUUUUAAGUGUCAUAUCCUUCCUGUUCUUUGGAAGGAUGUCUUCUUGCUCUUCAUGAGCUUUACAAGUCAUCUCGUAGGUCAUUAAUGACCCGAUUAGUUCUUCAAGAGGGAAGUUGCUUAGAUCUUUCGCCUCUUGAAUAGCAGUGACUUUAGGAUCCCAACUCUUAGGAAGGGAUCUUAGAAUCUUAUUUACGAGCUCAAAAU
rnacentral:lncRNA from 1 species